UACGUAGGGGGCGAGCGUUGUCCGGAAUUACUGGGCGUAAAGGGCACGCAGGCUGUGCGUCAAGUCAUCUGUAAAAGGAUGCGGCUUAACCGUGUUAAGCAGAUGAGACUGAGGUGCUGGAGUGCUGGAGAGGCAAGCGGAAUUCCCAGUGUAGCGGUGAAAUGCGUAGAUAUUGGGAAGAACAUCGGUGGCGAAGGCGGCUUGCUGGCCAGUAACUGACGCUGAGGUGCGAAAGCCAGGGUAGC
rnacentral:rRNA from 1 species